AAGUUUACUGAUGGGUUUCCUUCCCCUGAGCUGAAAUUUUAAAUCCCUAUUGAAAGGGGAACCCAACGAAGGAGUCGGCGAUGGAACCGAAGAGAUCCAAAGAGCAGUGGUCUCCAUUAGUUUAUCAAUCAGAGAGAGAGAGAGAGAGAGACCAAGAA